rnacentral:rRNA from 1 species
AAACCAACAGGGAUUGCCUUAGUAACGGCGAGUGAACAGGCAAGAGCUCAGAUUUGAAAGCCUUUCGGGGCAUUGUAUUCUGAAGCCUUGAUUCUGAGAACCGGUACCUAAGUCUUCUGGAAAGGAGCGCCAAGGAGGGUGAUAGCCCCGUACGGUACUGACCUCAUUGUAGAAUCUUGGCGUGGAGUCGAGUUGUUUGGGAAUGCAGCUCAAAUGGGUGGUAUGCUCCAUCUAAAGCUAAAUAUCUGCGAGAGACCGAUAGCGAACAAGUACUGUGAAGGAAAGAUGAAAAGAACUUUGAAAAGAGAGUGAAAAAGUACGUGAAAUUGUUGAAAUGGAAGGAUAGGCCGCUAACCACGUAGAGCCGUGUCUGAGGGGAGGAUAAAAGCUGUAGAAUGUGGCUCUUCGGAGUGUUAUAGCUGCAGUGCAUACUCCCACUCGGGCGCGAGGACCUAAGGUCUGCUAAAUGGUGGGCUAUCAC